UACGUAGGGGGCAAGCGUUGUCCGGAAUCAUUGGGCGUAAAGCGCGCGUAGGCGGCCCUGUAAGUCCGUUGUGAAAGUCAAAGGCUCAACCUUUGAAAGCCGAUGGAUACUGCAGGGCUAGAGUCCGGAAGAGGCGAGUGGAAUUCCUGGUGUAGCGGUGGAAUGCGCAGAUAUCAGGAGGAACACCAAUAGCGAAGGCAGCUCGCUGGGACGGUACUGACGCUAAGGCGCGAAAGCGUGGGGAGCGAACGAGG
rnacentral:rRNA from 1 species